UACGGAGGGUGCAAGCGUUAAUCGGAAUUACUGGGCGUAAAGCGUGCGCAGGCGGUUUGUUAAGUCCGUUGUGAAAGCCCCGAGCUCAACUUGGGAAUUGCAGUGGAUACUGGCAAGCUGGAGUACGGUAGAGGAAGGUGGAAUUCCCGGUGUAGCAGUGAAAUGCGUAGAUAUCGGGAGGAACACCAGUGGCGAAGGUGGCCUUCUGGACCAGUACUGACGCUCAUGCACGAAAGCGUGGGGAGCAAACAGG
rnacentral:rRNA from 1 species